rnacentral:rRNA from 1 species
GACGAACGCUGGCGGCGUGCUUAACACAUGCAAGUCGAACGGAAAGGCCCUGCUUGCCGGGUACUCGAGUGGCGAACGGGUGAGUAACACGUGGGUGAUCUGCCCUGCACUUCGGGAUAAGCCUGGGAAACUGGGUCUAAUACCGGAUAGGAGCCAUUUUUAGUGUGAUGGUUGGAAAGUUUUUUCGGUGUAGGGUGGGCUCGCGGCCUAUCAGCUUGUUGGUGGGGUAAUGGCCUACCAAGGCGGCGGCGGGUAGCCGGCCUGAGAGGGUGGACGGCCAAAUUUGGGCUGGGAUACGGCCCAGACUCCUACGGGGAGCAGCAGGGGGGAAUAUUGCACAAUGGGCGGAAGCCUGAUGCAGCGACGCCGCGGGGGGGAUGACGGCCUUCGGGUUGUAAACUCCUUUCGCUAGGGACGAAGCUUUUUGUGACGGUACCUAGAGAAGAAGCACCGGCUAACUACGUG